rnacentral:rRNA from 2 species
GAAUGCGAUCAUACUAGCACUAAAGCACCGGAUCCCAUCAAAACUCCGAAGUUAAGCGUGCUUGGGCGAGAGUAGUACUAGGAUGGGUGACCACUUGGGAAGUACUCGUGUUGCAUUCC